ACAUGUCAGAUUUAAGUGACUUUUUACGUGUCCGAGGGCUUCCUGAAGAUGCCAUUUCAUUAUUGGAAGAGCAGAAGAUUGAUUGGGAUGUCAUAGCGCUGAUGGAUGACGCAACUCUGGCAAAUUACAUCCCUUCCUAUGGAGACCGAAUUGCCCUCUUCAAUUUCUGCAAAAGCAAACAACCACUCUCAAAAAGAAAACAGGGUCUUCUGCCAAGAGUUCCCCUCUCAGAGAUGAACUUGAUGACGUUGUGCACACAUGGAACUCACACAAAAUCAGGCCAAGUGGUGGUGCAUCAUCGGGUCGACCAGUAGUGAUGUACUCUUUUCCAGAGCUGCACAGGGCUGAGGAUAAUAGACUGAAACCUGUUUUCAUGGAUGAGAUCAGUGUGUGCAUGGAAGAGUGUACACCAAAAGGCCAAUAUCCCUGCGAUGAAACAGUGUUUGAACUUUGUUGUCUGCUUAUGGUAGAAAAUGAAUGGAAUGCCCCAAGAGAUCCACUUGUUGCUGCUGAUCUGUAUAUAAGGUUAAGAGAAAAAAUACUCCAAAGUGUUUAAGAAAUUUCUGUAGUCAAAAAGAGAAAAAACAGUGUUUCUGUUUAUCUUGAUUAUGUGAGUAGUUGUCAUGUCUUACAGGUACCCUAUAUGCAGGUAUUCUUGCUUUGUAUCAAAUGAAAUACAUUUUGGGGGCAAGCAAACAUGUCAUUUUUUACAUCAUUCUGUCAGAAUAUUAAUGGUUAUUACUGGUAUAAUGUAAAUGCAGUGUUUUGAUAUGAGUUUAGUUUUUCAGCUACCAUUUUACUGAUCAAAGUAAAAAAAUGUUUGGUUGACAUCUUGUCCCAAUAUAUAGUUUUUUCUUUACUUUUACACUCAGUCAUUAGAAGUAGCAAUGCUCAUUUCUUGUCAAAUAUAGAUAGUGUGAUGUGAUCAUCAGUUAUGUAACAAAUUCUUCUAACUAGCUAUGCUUUCAGCUGCAUAAACAAAUGUAUUUUUUCUUCUAACACAAUUCUGUAUUGUUAAAUAAAAUCCAAUGACAAUG